ACUUUAUUGAUCCAUUGAUCAACUUGAUUGAUUGAUUUGGUAUCAGACAUGGACAUUAUUCAUCAAUGAUUGUCUUGAAUUGUGCACGAUUGUGUCGUGAUAGAAUGGUGGCAUUGCUGCUGUGGUUGAUCGACCAAUCCUUUUUACUACUUUGUUA
rnacentral:misc_RNA from 1 species